UACGUAGGGGGCUAGCGUUGUCCGGAAUCAUUGGGCGUAAAGCGCGUGUAGGCGGUCCGGUAAGUCCGCUGUGAAAGUCGGGGGCUCAACCCUCGAAUGCCGGUGGAUACUGUCGGGCUAGAGUGCGGAAGAGGCGAGUGGAAUUCCUGGUGUAGCGGUGAAAUGCGCAGAUAUCAGGAGGAACACCUAUUGCGAAGGCAGCUCGCUGGGACGUAACUGACGCUGAGACGCGCAAGCGUGGGGAGCAAACAGG
rnacentral:rRNA from 1 species